GGAGGGAUGGCCGAGUGGUUUAAGGCGAUGGUCUUGAAAACCAUUGUGGGGUUUACGCCUCACCGUGGGUUCGAAUCCCACUCCCUCCGCCU
rnacentral:tRNA from 1 species